rnacentral:rRNA from 1 species
UCUUUUCCUUGGCCGAAAGGCCUGGGNAAUCUUGUUAAACUCUGUCGUGCUGGGGAUAGAGCANNNNNANNAUNGCUCUUCAACGAGGAAUGCCUAGUAAGCGCGUGUCAUCAGCACGCGUUGAUUACGUCCCUGCCCUUUGUACACACCGCCCGUCGCUACUACCGAUUGAAUGGCUCAGUGAGGCCUUCGGACUGGCCCGGGGAGGUUGGCAACNACCACCCCGGGCCGGAAAGUUCGUCAAACUCGGUCAUUUAGAG